GUGGUUACCUGGGUCUGUUCUUUUCUAACUUCCUUUGCUUCCAUUGAAGUUGCUUUUUUGCUACUUCAUCCAGAUUCUAGCUGUUGUCCUCCGAGUUCCUGAUCAAGUCCAAGUCCGUUGCCUUUUUCAUCUGCUCCACCAAUGCACCAUGGGAAUGGUGUGAUCAAACUAUAGUAUUUAAACCAUGAAAAACAAAAUAGUUUGAGCAUUUCGAGGGUUGAAAAUGAUAUGGGAUGAGGAUGAUUCAGUGGUAAGGUUGGUGGUGAUGAACGCAGGAAUUGAUGCAGGAGAAGCAAUGUUUAAUGGGAAUUCGGACCUCGGUAUAUCAGCCGAAUAAUUCGCCAAAAGUGGCUUUUGAGCAGCUCUAUAAAAGGAUAUAGAACCAAUUAGCUCUGUUAGCCAGGUUCUACAUUCGACUAGAGCCGACUCAAUGCCAUUUUACGGCUUAAUGGUUACUUGGGUGGUGUGUAGGGUGCCUUACAUACGUCAUUGUACCGACAAAGCGACACAUAUGAAAAGUGCUCACUUUGUUACUUAAGUCAGUUUGAUUUUCUUCAUUUUCAAAAGGUUUUAACAACUGUUGAAUGAGUUAUUGUUUUAAAAAUAUAAAACUUAUAACAUUUGCGUCACAAGGGAAACAUUCAAGAAAGAUCGAAAAUUCUGAUCAAUGUUACCCCGGAUUUUGGUAAUUCAAGUUUAUAAACUAUAUAACCUAUAGGUGCUUUUCACCAUAAAAAAUAAAAUGGAUUUACUCCUGCUGAUCAACUGUGGGUGUGCGCCAAGCGGGAAGUCCAUUGUGAUGUUGCUACACAUCAUUAAGCAGAAUAUUAGGUAUAAAAAUAUGCAAAAAUCUUAGUUUUGUUUAUUUUGUUACUUGGAACGUAUUGAAAAUUUGCUCUUGAAUUGGGAGUCAUUCGAAUUCUUCUAGGCUACUUCAGAUGACCCCCAAUAGGUGAAUCGGAAUGGUCCCCCGUUGUAGAGGCGCUGAGUGAGAUAAGGAGAAAAUCGUUUGUUUACAUAAAAAAUCAAGUUUUUUGUCUUCAAAAUUUAUUCAUAUUUUGCACUGAUAGGGUAACCAAUAUAAUUUGGACCCCCAUAUAUUUUGGACCCCCUGAGUCGUAUUAUCACAAAUUUCUCAGAUUUAAUGAAGAUAUUGCGAAAAUUUUUAGAAUCAUUCGCUAAAUUAGAUUGCUCUGCACGGGCAGCAAUCAUUUCCGCACUGGAAGUAGCAUUAUUUGCCUUGAAAUUCAUUUUUGUCAAUCUCGUCAUGCGUGUCAGUAUCUGUUGCAGUAUGUACGCGCCCCUCGUAUUUUCAUUCUCUUUUGUUAACACACACAUACUAACAUACUCUCGCACGGACCUGAAAUAAAGAGUGCAGUGAAUGCCCGCAUAGCCAAAAACACUUUGUCUUGUAGUUCUAACAUAAAAAAUGUUUCAUACCAUAGUGUAGGUCCUUGUGAUAUCGUUUACUUAAUGUAAUACAAAAUGAUUCUCUUCCCAGGUAACCACUAAGCACUGUUCUGAGCAUUAUAACAGCCAUUUAACAGCUUUUCAGUGCUAAAUAGCUCUAUAUAAGCAUUCCUAAUGCUUAUGGGCGCUAUAACCAGUAAGAACUAAAUUAAGCCCUGUAAGCCUAUAUAAAGCCUACAAGCUGUAAAGAAGUUUGUCAGUGCUGUCACAGGGCUUGGAGCACAUGACGUUUAUAUCAAUCAAAAUAGAUUUCGACCAAAACAGACUCGAGUCGGUCAUGAUCAAUACAUUUUAAACAUCCAUGUCGGACGGGUUUGACGAAACGGGAUUAUUUUUGUUGUUGGCAUGUUUAUCGGAAUGGUGUUGUUAAAUAGAUAAUGGAAUUUGAUUAUCUUGAUUAUUCCAUUUUUUUUUUCAAUCAAGACAAACUCCAGCUCGUUUCCCUCUUCUUGUGAAACGUUUCCCGACCAUUUAUAUAAACAUUGCUUCUCCUGCAUCAAUUCCUGCGUUCAUCACCACCAACCUUACCACUGAAUCAUCCUCAUCCCAUAUCAUUUUCAACCCUCGAAAUGCCCAAACUAUUUUGUUUUUCAUGGUUUAAAUACUAGUUUCAUAACACCAUUCCCAUGGUGCAUUGGUGGAGCAGAUGAAAAAGGCAACGGACUUGGACUUGAUCAGGAACUCGGAGGACAACAGCUAGAAUCUGGAUGAAGUAGCAAAAAAGCAACUUCAAUGGAAGCAAAGGAAGUUAGAAAAGAACAGAAGAUAAACAUUUUUUUUCUUUUUUCUUUGUCUCACUUUUGACAACUUUCGCUCCAGAGACUUGGUACGAUAUUUUAAAGUUGGCCGUAUAUCAGCCGAAUAAUUCGCCAAAAGUGGCUUUUGAGCAGCUCUAUAAGAGGAUAUAGAACCAAUUAGCUCUGUUAGCCAGGUUCUACAUUCGACUAUAGAGCCGACUUAAUGCCAUUUUCACGGCUUAAUGGUUACUUGGGUUGACUUAAAACAACAUAUGACACUUCAGUAACAAUACCUUUUAUUUUAAAAAUAUAACGUAUUGUCGUUGAGUUGUUAUUUACUGUCCAUAAGUUUGCAUAUCACUUGCUUAUGACAAUAAACAAUCUAUAAGAACUAUCUCACAAGAUGUAACACUAUGCCAAAUCUUGCUGACAUUGUAUUUAAUUUUCUAUCAUCAAAUGGGAAAGACUAUGUUGUCACAAACACAUCGACACAUUUUAUUGUAUCACAUUCGAUGGACCAUAUCUGAUAUUGUUAAACAUAAACUGUGUGUGUGAUAAUUUAUUUUUGCUAAUUUUCCUGCCUUUGCGGCGAACAGCCAUAUUUGAUUCGGUCUUCAACUUAUUUGGCAGCACGAAAGUUUUGCGGAAAAGAUCGUACUUUUCUUUCACGAAGUACCAGCUUUAUUGGCCAUUCUGAGCGAAAAGUUGAUUAAAAGCAUUCCAAAUUAUUGUUUAAUGUCAGAAAAGUGAAACAAAUCUGUUUUAGCGCAGCCGGAGCAGCCCCAAUCAAUACCCCAACACCGGCGGUGGUUGAACAAAAACCCUUUCUGUACAUACGCUGCUACCAGUCAAUCGGCAGAGUGCUGUCCUCCUGAAAGUAUGAGAUCGUCCGCCCGGUAUCAACGGAAUCAUACACAAAUGCAGGUUCCAAGAAAUGGCAAGUUUCUAGCCACGGAUCGGAAGAAGCGGUAUGAAGACUGGGAAGUACGGCCAAGACGCUGAAAAGAAUAGAAUUUCGAUACUGUUGGGAUAUGCAAUACUGUUUCCUCUCAGUGUGGCAUUCGGCGAGAUCGAAGGCGAGAUCAACCCUGCGAAAACUUUCCACAGCAGACCCGAGCGAGCGCGCCACGCGCGUAUCAAUGUGAACUUUAUUUUUUCAGUCCCCUACGUUAAACCCGUUCAGACGUGCAUUAAAGUAUUUUCUAGUUUCAUUCA